AGUGAACGCUGGCGGUAGGCCUAACACAUGCAAGUCGAACGGCAGCACAGUAAGAGCUUGCUCUUACGGGUGGCGAGUGGCGGACGGGUGAGGAAUACAUCGGAAUCUACUUUUUCGUGGGGGAUAACGUAGGGAAACUUACGCUAAUACCGCAUACGACCUACGGGUGAAAGCAGGGGAUCUUCGGACCUUGCGCGAUUGAAUGAGCCGAUGUCGGAUUAGCUAGUUGGCGGGGUAAAGGCCCACCAAGGCGACGAUCCGUAGCUGGUCUGAGAGGAUGAUCAGCCACACUGGAACUGAGACACGGUCCAGACUCCUACGGGAGGCAGUAGUGGGGAAUAUUGGACAAAGGGCGCAAGCCUGAUCCAGCCAUACCGCGUGGGUGAAGAAGGCCUUCAGGUUGUAAAGCCCUUUUGUUGGGAAAGAAAAGCAGCAGGUUAAUACCCCGCUGUUCUGACGGUACCCAAAGAAUAAGCACCGGCUAACUUCGUG
rnacentral:rRNA from 1 species